CACACCACGGAAUGCUGCUUGCACUUGGAGCAGUCACCUGUGUAGCAGGAUACAGUUGCAUCUAACACUGCAGGUGGUCCUGAGGUCGGUUGUCUUCCCUACAUGGAUGGAUGUUGGGAUCUAGCUGACCUCUCCUGUAGUCAGACUUCCAAGCGGACCUGGACCUUUUCGCAUGCUGCUUGUGCUGUUCUGCUAACAACAACAUACUUGUUUUCUUGACAGCAGAAGCUCCAACAUCAACAUCUCAUCCUCCGAUGUCAUUUGAAGUUGAUGGAUCUGGUUUGAACUCAGGAACAUUGAUCGCACCC